AUGGCAGCAGGACUAGAUCCGCUAGUGGCGUUAUGGAAAGAGUGGGGGAUCCAGAUGCUGGUGCUGCUGAGCUUGGCACUCCAGGUGAUGCUGAUUGUCACGGCAGAGAUUCGUCGGCGCAAAGACUCUGGGGUGCUAAGGGUCGUCGUGUGGUGCGCGUAUCUGCUGGCUGACACGACGGCGAUAUACACUCUGGGACACAUGUCCGUGACCAGCAGGUCGCCGCAGCAUGAGCUGGUGGCGUUCUGGGCGCCGUUUCUGCUACUGCAUCUUGGUGGCCAGGACAACAUCACGGCUUACUCCAUCGAGGACAACCGGCUCUGGCUGCGCCACCUGCAGAGUUUUGUGGUGCAGGUAUUCGCGGCUGCCUAUGUCCUCUAUGAGUCAUCCAUCUUUUCAGGUGGCGGCCGGAACAUGCUCCGACAGGCCACCAUACUCAUGUUCAUGGUUGGUGUUGUCAAAUAUGGGGAGAGAGUAUGUGCGCUCAAGAUUGCCAGCAGCAGUACACUAUCCGGGAAGAAUUACAGAAGUUUUGGCAGGGUGUACACUGAAAAUCUCGCGUUAUGGGUGCUUCCGUAUGAGCCAAAAUUACUUGAAGCUCAUCUACUGUUGAACAUUCCCAAGCAUCUUCUUAAGGGGCCGUUACCUCUUGUGACAGUUGGCAGGAAAACCGAUAAUGACUGGGAGCUCAUGUACAAUGUAGCCGAGAUCCAACUCUCGCUGAUGCACGACGUCUUCUAUAGUAAGACUGAGUUGGUCCACACUUGGUACGGGUACUGCCUCCGUAUCGCCUCGCUGCCCGCCACUGUGACCUCAUUGUUGUUGUUCCGUCGAGUCAGUAAGAAAGAUGCUUUCAGCAAAGUAGACGUUGCUGCCACCUAUGUUUUGCUAGCUGGAGCAGUCAUCCUGGAGAUCACAUCAGCAUUGAGGAUCAUGUUCUCCACCUGGACAUAUACACAUGUCACAAGCCCAGCAAGCCUUGUUCGUCAUAAUUGUGGAUUGCGAUAUCUCAUGGCUAAUCUAUUUGUUAUGUUUGGGGAGCUCAUCAGAUAUGCAAUACGGAAAGUAGGAGGAAUGCCUGCAAGGUACUGGUCGGGCUCCAUGGGGCAACACAACUUUAUUUUCAUGUGCAGCCGUUGUAAGGACAGUCGAAGCAGCAAAAUCGCGAGACGGAUGGGGCGGGAGGACUGGUGGAACAUACUGAUUUACACGUCCUCGUCUGUCCCUGUCUCAAAAGAUUUCAGUAAAUUGCUGAAGGAACAACUAAGGAAAAGUGUAGGCGUGAACGAAGAGAACCCAGACCACAUCCAAAACUCAAGGGGCCGGGCGGCGCUGAAGAAGAGGGGAUUGUAUGAGGAGUUGUCCUGGAGCGUGGGCACUGAGCUGGACGAGAGCAUCCUCGUAUGGCACAUCGCCACUUGUGUCUACCUCAGCUGGUACCAAGGGGAACACAAACACCUGCCGCAGCUUGCAAAGGUAACCCAGGAGCUCUCCAACUACAUGAUGUUUCUGCUCGUGUCACGUCCCUAUAUGUUGCCUGACAAUACUAGUCGCCAGAGGUAUAUUGAACUGUGCAACAGGGUGAUAUUUCAUCUCAACUACAGCUCAGCUGAGGAUUUGCUCAGGAUAAUACGGGACUAUGGUGAUACUCUCAGUGCUGGACGAUCUCUGCCUUUCGAGUAUAUAGAGUAUCUUCUUCCGACAUAUGAGAAAACUCGUACCGGCGAAGAUAAGGUGAACACUGUAACAUUUGACAAAGCAUCUCAACUUGGCGCAAAGCUGAUUAGCAAAGAGCUCGAAACACCUAAUGCCAACAUGCUAAAGCUGAUCAGCCAAGUGUGGGUAGAGAUGUUGUGUUACGUGGGAUACCGGUGCAGGCCGGAUUCUCAUGCCAGACAGCUGAGCAACGGCGGAGAGAUCGCCACCGUCGUGGCUCUGAUGAUGGAAUACUUGAAAUCCGAUAUUCUGCAGUUCAAAAAAGAAGAGCAGGAAGCUGAGUUGGGGCUGCCGUAA
rnacentral:rRNA from 1 species